UUGCGAUAUUAAACACCUGGAUCAUGUGACUGGGGUGUAUACUUUCUCGUUUAUGAAUGAGAAGAUCCACAGGCAAUCAGAUAACUUGAGUCUAGUAAUGUCACGAUUGGUUAGUGGGGAAUUAUUGUUGAUUGACAGUAAAUUGUCCAAAUUGUAGACGAGUCUUGGUCCAGUUUGCCCAAUAAACUCCGAGAUUCAUUGGGAGGGGCGGGAAUUUUAUUUUUCUUAUUGUUUCUUCGGUCGGGAGUGUUUUUUUUUAGCAAAAAGGUAUACAGCAUUUCAUUGUUAUGGCCUUUCAUUGGUAAAAAUGAGUCUGCCUUUACAGCCGUAACUACAUACUGUUGUUUUUUUUCUAUCGUAUUCUGUGAAUCUGAACGGAAGAAGUCACGGCGCUACGUUACACGAUGUGCUGUGGAAAUUUUAUUUGAUGCUAGAAAACUCGAGGCUGAUUCAGUGAAGCCCUCGUGUGUCAGAGCGCGUCUUCUGGCUCUUACUGUAGAAACCAAACUGAAGCUCAACCGUUUCUAAAGUCUGAGUCCUUGAGCUUUGAACAUCAGGAAAACCAACUGGACAGUCCGCACAGUCUGCGACAGCACCGUCCACUCCACAGCCCUGAGGAAGGAGUCUUCAGGUGGAAGAAAAAAAGCUACCUGCGCCGUCAGUGUGUGGCCACGCCCACUCGAAUGACAUACCUCGCAGGCCACGCCCCACGCACCUGUCCGCCAGGUUCUGCGGGAGAGAAGGGAGCUGAUGUCUUCGGGCAGGACAUGAUUCGCACUAAGUAAUGGGAGUAUAAACUUUGGUGUCUCUGGGCAGGACAAGCUUGGCUUAGCUGCUGGAAUUAUCUAUAGGUCUGUAACCCCUUGGUCUUGGAAAACCCUGAUGUUGCUCUAGAGUCUUCCUGUCCUCUACAACAUCGCCUAAGCACAGACCUUCCUGGCUGGUGAAACUGGAAAGCUGUUGAAGACCCCAUGGCUCCGUUGAAAGACUAAAUUCCCGUAUGGAACAGGUAGUAGGUGUAUUCCCUGCUGGAAAAAGAAGAAAGAAAACAACGUUUCGGCCGUGGAGCCUUCUUCAGGUCUUGUAAUGGGAAAGAAAUCUGCCAACUCAGUCGUCCAGUACAGCAUCGUCAAUCCACCUCAUGAAGAAAGGAUUGCCUUGAUCAACUGGAAAGCUCAGGAUUUCAGGAACUUCAAAAGGAUGGAUUGAUCUGGAAAAAAGUAAUAUUGUCUCACACCUUAGAGCUUUAGGAGAUCCAGACAUCAUUGCAUAAAUUGAAUGUAUUCGGGAACUUGGUAGGUUUUCAGAAUCUCACUUACAGACACUAUAUUUUAGACUCAGUGAGAACAUGUGACAGGAAAGUAUGGAAAUUUAAGGUACAAAGAAAACGGAUCCUGUGGGCUGUCUGCUGCUCUAAGGGUGCCACAGUACAUGGGAAAACAAAACUUACACACCCAGGAUACACCUACAGUAUAAUGCACACAAGUCAAGGGUUAAUGGGAAAAGCCAACAGGAAUGGGUGUUAUUCUGGGGUUUGACUUGGUAUGGUAAAUCAUCUUCUGCAAACAGAAAUCCUGUAAGACAAUUCUUCCUCCAGUUUACAUGGUGUUUUUAGGUGCUUUUGAGCAUAAGAAAGUGACUGAUGGCCUUCACAAAAGCUAAACACUGAGCUUCUCCUUUAGUAAUAAUAGGAAUGUGCAUGGUAUGUUCAAUGCUGCAUCAGGACGUCCGUAUCGCAGAUUUUAAAUGUAUGUUUAUCAACCCAAACAAUUGUAUUCAGUAGUUUAUUAAGUGUAGAUUACUGGUACUGUAUUUAUUCCAUUGUACUUAUUGAUUGUGAUAUCUCAUUUAAGCUUACUGAACAUCCAAUUAGCUCAUUCGUUAAAAACACCGUAAUUUACUCAUUACAGCAGCGAAAUGUUGAAAUAUACAUCCGUGACUGUAAUCCAAUUUUUAUAUAUUUCACAGCUUGAAAGAACUGAACAGUGUACUGCCAAGUCCAUUGGAUUCAUAAAGCCCAUUUGAGAUUUGAAAACAACAAGACUAUAUAGUGUCACAUUUAUUUCCUAGCAUCUAAGGGAAUUUUUAUAUAAUGCUUGUUAGGUCAUACAUGCUAAUAUUAAAAUAUCAUUGGCUUGCUUUUUUGUUCAAAAUAGUAAUGUCAUUUUUCACUACUGUAACUGAUUUCAAGUGUAACUGGACAGAGUGGGACAACAUCUAUUCUAUUUUUUGUACAUUUAAUACAUUACCAAC